CAGUCCAUGGGCUUGUAACAUGAAGACAGUGGAACCAGAACUAACUGUCAAGACCAGCCAGAGAAAGAAAGAAGAAGGGAGAGAGAGAAGCACUGAUAUGAGAGAGAAGCAUUGAUCGGUUGUCUCAUGUAUACACCUGGACCAGAAAUCAUGUUUGCCCAGAUCAGGGAUCAAACCCACAACCUAGGUAUGCGUCCUGACUGGGAAUUGAACCUGCAACUUUUUGGUUAUAGGACGAUGCUCCCACCAACUGACCUACACCAGCAAGGAGUUGUUUGGCACAACAUCAAAUCACCCAGGCACCUCAGCCCGCCUACAUCCCAUAUUUGGCACCCUGCAACUUCUGGCUCUCCUCAAGACUAAAAUCACCUUUGAAAGGGAAGACAUUUCAGACUGUUAAUGAGAUUCAGGAAAAUACAAUGGGGCCGCUGAUGGUGAC